CCGAGGACGUCAAACCACAUUCUGCCUGUUCCCUCCCUUUCAUCCUCAUCGAAUCCGACUCUCUCUGUCCUGGAAGGGAAAAUAAAUACUAACCCACCUCUCUUUGCUCAUGCCUAACCUCGUGCCUGGAGGAGAGAGGCCUUAAGAGAGGAAACAUAAAAACAGAAAUGCUGAAUUUGGUAAAGGAGCUGGAUCUUGGAAGGAAACGACGGAUAAAGUUUUCCUGACCUCGUUAGGCCGGAAGAGUGCUGACGGGCCACGGAAAAUAUCAGCGGGUUCAAGAGAGGCCACGUAUUUCUCGAGUCCCCCACGGUCACCCUGUAUCAUCGGCUGUGCUCCAGUACAUGUCACCCCGCCCUUCAGCAUUGACAUCAAGCAUCCCUCAUCCCGUUGCCCCAGUGCCCUUCCUUCUUACCUUCCGUCCGUGGACGCCCUGGAUCCCAGGGUCUCCCUGCAACAGCAGAGAAAAGAACCUCAAGCAAUAUUCCAAGGAGAAACGGCAACACGCGCCCUUUCCCCCAAAAGGCUGAGGGGCGGCUCCAUGCUGGACCACCCAGCUUUUGCUUCCUUCGGCGUGAUUUGCUCUGAACCCGAGGGCUCGAUUUCUGUGUGCCCGGGGAGUCCUCACGGGUAGCCCCCCCUGGAUCCCGGGACAAUGCCUCGCAAAAGCAAAGCAGUUUUACCAGGUAGAUUGUAGCCCGGAACCAUGCCUGAGAAGAUGAUAAGAUUUUCAGGUGGAGGUCAACCUGGUCCCCAGCCUCAGACCGAGAGAGGAAAGGGUUGGUAACGGCGGCGGGGAGGGGGGCGAUAGCCGGACUGAAAAUCGUACUCGAAGCCAACGGCCCCAUUCUCAUCCCACGAGCUCGGCCCUGGCCUCCCUUCCUCUCCACAGUCCCGCACCCAGCCCGAGCUGAACACCUGGAUUCCUGGAGUUGAAUCUCACCUUUGGUCCUGGAGGCCCAGGUAAGCCCUGAAAUGACAGCAAGAAGGGUUGAUUAGUAGAGUUUCAUGACCUCGGUGCUUUUGGACAGCUAUGGCGGGGAGUUGCUGAUUGGGGUGGAAUGGGUUAAGAUAGAGAAAACCGGUUGCCUGCGGCUACAGGGUCUCCCACAGGUUUCCGGAAACCCUAGAGGUGCCUCUGAAGGGGGUCUCGCUUGAGCCAAAGCAUGUUCACUUUGGAUCCGAACCCUCAGAUUAGGGAACUGGAAUCCUCCUAGCAC